rnacentral:rRNA from 1 species
CCCUUAGAUGUUCUGGGCCGCACACGCGCUACACUGGCAGGUUCAUCGAGCUUCAUGCCCUGAUCUGAGAAGAACGGGAAAUCUUUGAACACCUGCCGUGCUUGGGAUAGAUGCUUGCAAUUAUUCAUCUUCAACGAGGAUUGCCUUGUAAGCGCACGUCAUCAGCGUGCAUUGAAUACGACCCUGUAUUCUGUACACACCGCCCGUCGCUCCUACCGAUUGAAGUUUUCGGUGAAUUUACUGGAGAUCCCUUUUGAAGGUGGUUCGCCACUGGAAGAAGUAUUCAAAAGUAAAUGAAUCGAAUGCUUUAGAGGAAGGAGAAGUCGUAACA